rnacentral:rRNA from 1 species
ACGGCCCAGACUCCUACGGGAGGCAGCAGUGGGGAAUAUUGGACAAUGGGGGAAACCCUGAUCCAGCCAUGCCGCGUGUGUGAUGAAGGCCUUCGGGUUGUAAAGCACUUUCGCACGUGACGAUGAUGACGGUAACGUGAGAAGAAGCCCCGGCUAACUUCGUGCCAGCAGACGCGGUAAUACGAAGGGGGCAAGCGUUGUUCGGAAUUACUGGGCGUAAAGGGCGCGUAGGCGGUGCAUUAAGUCAGGCGUGAAAGCCCUGGGCUCAACCCGGGAAUUGCGUUUGAUACUGUUGCGCUUGAAUCCAGGAGAGGUUGGUGGAAUUCCCAGUGUAGAGGUGAAAUUCGUAGAGAUUGGGAAGAACACCGGUGGCGAAGGCGGCCAACUGGACUGGUAUUGACGCUGAGGCGCGAAAGCGUGGGGAGCAAACAGGGAUUAGAUACCCUGGUAGUCCACGUUGUAAACUAUGUGUGCUAACCGUUGGGGCUCUUA